rnacentral:tRNA from 1 species
GAGCAUGUAACUCAGUGGUUAGAGUAUUCGCUUGAUAAGCGAAAAGUCAUGGGUUCAAAUCCCAUCCUGCUCA